CGCCUAACCCUCAUAGGUAACUAUGAGGUAUGGCAUUUAAUCCAUGCAAAGUACUGAACCCGUCGUUCAGCUAUCUUUGCAUGGUCAUAUUUCGAAAGGAAUAUGGGCGCCGAAAGGUGCC
rnacentral:sRNA from 1 species